AUUCAUUGAUUUUUGAUUUUGCAACUAAUAAAGUUUAACAUAAAGAAACCGCGUCAACUCAUGAAAAGAAAUUGGUAUUAACUAUCAACAUGUAUUAUGUUGUUGCACUUAAUAAAGUAAACCUGGAUUUGAAACGGGAUUUGAGCGAUGGAAGGUUGAAGUUGGAUUGAGUGAUUGAUGCUGGAUUUGAACAAAUGAAGUUGAAUUUAGGGCGAUUUGAACGAAAAUAUGUAUUUGGAGGGAUUUGAAUGAAUGAAGCGAAUUUCAGUGAUUGAAGAUGAAUUUUAGCGAUUGAAGCUGCAUUUGAAGUGAAUAACACAAAAGAUUUGAGUGAUGUAGCCGAUUUUCCAUGGAGGAAGAAGGAGAAAGGUAU
rnacentral:lncRNA from 1 species